AACGAACGCUGGCGGCAGGCUUAACACAUGCAAGUCGAACGCAUCGCAAGAUGAGUGGCAGACGGGUGAGUAACGCGUGGGAACAUACCCUUUUCUACGGAAUAGCUCUGGGAAACUGGAAUUAAUACCGUAUACGCCCUACGGGGGAAAGAUUUAUCGGGGAAGGAUUGGCCCGCGUUGGAUUAGCUAGUUGGUGGGGUAAAGGCCUUCCAAAGCGACGAUCCAUAGCUGGUCUGAGAGGAUGCUCAGCCACAUUGGGACUGAGACACGGCCCAAACUCCUACGGGAGGCAGCAGUGGGGAAUAUUGGACAAUGGGCGAAAGCCUGAUCCAGCCAUGCCGCGUGAGUGAUGAAGGCCUUAGGGUUGUAAAGCUCUUUCACCGAUGAAGAUAAUGACGGUAGUCGGGGAAGAAGCCCCGGCUAACUUCGUGCCAGCCGCCGCGGUAAGAC
rnacentral:rRNA from 1 species